GUGCUUGCUUCAGCAGCACAUAUACUAAAAUUGGAACAAUGCAGAGAAGAUUAGCAUGGCCCCUGUGCAAGGAUGACAUGCAAAUUCAUGAAGCGUUCCAUAUUUUU
ensembl:snRNA Gm23678 predicted gene, 23678